rnacentral:rRNA from 1 species
GACGAACGCUGGCGGCGUGCUUAACACAUGCAAGUCGAACGGAAAGGCCCUGCUUUUGUGGGGUGCUCGAGAGGCGAACGGGUGAGUAACACGUGAGUAACCUGCCCUUGACUUUGGGAUAACGUCAGGAAACUGGGGCUAAUACCGGAUAGUAGCUCCUGCUGCUUAGUGUGGGAUGGAAAGUUUCGGCGGUUGGGGAUGGACUCGCGGCUUAUCAGCUUGUUGGUGGGGUAGUGGCUUACCAAGGCUUUGACGGGUAGCCGGCCUGAGAGGGUGACCGGCCACAUUGGGACUGAGAUACGGCCCAGACUCCUACGGGAGGCAGCAGUGGGGAAUAUUGCACAAUGGGCGGAAGCCUGAUGCAGCAACGCCGCGUGCGGGAUGACGGCCUUCGGGUUGUAAACCGCUUUCGCCUGUGACGAAGCGUGAGUGACGGUAAUGGGUAAAGAAGCACCGGCUAACUACGUG